CCUGAAUGGACUGAGGCAACCCGUAUUCAUGGCUCUACAAUUUUGUACACAGCUGAGUUCACCAUCAGGAGGAUCCGUCCCGAACUCAAAAAGGAAACAAAGCUAAUAAAAUAAACAAAAAACUAAGAAAGAGAAAAAAACAUAAAGGCGAAAUAGAGGCGGACUGAUCAAAGAUCACCGAACCUUUGGAUCUGUUCUUCUCUGUCGACAGGCGACACAACUUUGAUAGAAGCUCCCAGAAUUGAAUUGAAGCUUCAGUGUUGAUCCAAGCUUUGAACUCAUGAAGGAAAAGAGAGUUAAUGAUCACAGUUGCAUGGGCUGUGCAGCAUUCGGAAGAAGGACCCGCUUGAAUGCUCGUGGCCCAUAUCUUCUUAUCACGAUCACGAUGAGUAUAGUAUCAGGAUACAUAGAAGAUACGGAAGAUUUAAAGGAAUUCCGGGAUCCGUAAGGAAUCAAUUUAAGAUAUCCGAGAAUAUUUCACACAAGGAAGCAAACAUCCACUCACAAUAUGGUCGGCGCUAAACUUGAAAAUAGUAUCAAUCAUGGAUCUCAAUGGCUCCCUGAAUAUAAGACAGGCGAAUCAAUCACCACAAAAGCAAAAAGAAAGAAGACCACAUCUCCUACAUGGACGUAUCUGAUAUGGAUAUGUAUUGCUGUGAUAAGAAGGCUGCACCACGUAUGGACAUAUCUAAUAUGGACAUACCAUAUGGUGUCGUCCCUUAAUCAAGAAAUCAAUUCAAAUCCUUGAUUGAGAAGAAAUAUCUUAGGUUUCCUUAUAAAGAAAAGAAGUCCGAGCAGCUGAAGAAUAUAAAAAAGAAGGACUGAAGAUCGAAGCAUUCACGCAACUUCAAGAGAAUAUCUUAGUGUGUCUUAAUCUUAGUCUCGUCAAAGCUUUGUUCUUCUUAAGUUUAUUAUAGUUACACAAGAGUAAGAUCGAGUCAACUUAGUAAUACCGAUUGAGGCAGUGUCACAAGAUUUGAAAAUCAAAAUAAGUUUCAAAACUUGUUCACUACUGUUGUACUCAGAAUUCACUUUGAAAGAUUUAAGGAAAUGUUGAAACCCAAGGGGACUGGAAGUAGGCACCACAUUGGUGUUCCAAAUCAGGAUAAAUCUUUGCGUUCUUAUUC